rnacentral:misc_RNA from 1 species
AAUUUGUAUCCCCCCCCCUUUUUAAUGUCACAUCCUCAACUCGCAUUAUUAGUCAGUGUUAUACGUGUAAUCACUCUAUCACUAAUCCCCUCUGUUUGGAAGAGAACUGGGAUAAAAAGAAAGGGAAAAAAUGUAGGAACCCCAAAAGUAAACGAUGUAGAAAAGGUCGGAAAAGAAACAAAAAAUCAAGAAAAGGGAAAGGGAAGAACUCAUAGUACAUGUCUGAAAGAAUGGAUGUGAGUUGUUCGACACUGCAGGAUUAGAUCGCAGCGUGAAAACAAAAAUGUCACCGUAAAUGUAUAAUCGCGCAGUUUUAAUUUAAGGUCGUAGAGGUCACAUGUACAAACUAAUUAUGAUUUGUUUAGCAGUCAAAUUGUAAGUAAAUUGUAACAUUUGAAAAAUUUGAAUGUCAUAUUCAUUAUUGUUUUCUCAAUGCAUUGCCUGGUACAUGUAGUUAAUAAAUUAUAGUUUUCGAUUUUCUCCAUUCUUCAAUAGUUGAAAAUUGACAUUAUAAAUAGCAUUUAUUUUGGGGAGGAAACAAACUGUACUAUUAAUUCGCGUUCGGAGAAUCAUGAAUAUUUACUACUGUUUUUACUGUUACUUAGUAACAUUAACGUUACAUUACAAAUAAAAUUGUACUAGUUUUCGAUACUUUUUAUUCAUGUAUGACGAUGUCAUUUAUUUUUCCCCAUUGCGGUUCGGCUUCUUCGGGGGUAUUUACCAAGAAGUAAUUGUACAUGUUUCUGUUAAGGAGUGCAAUAUUUGUAUCUGUCGAAAUGCAAAGUGCGCAUGUGUGGUAUAAAUGAGUACUUUUAUUGUAUAUAUAAGACAUGUUUCUAUAUUUUUGUGUAUAAAUUAUAUUUUUGGGAGAAUAUUGUCCAACUAUUAUUGUUUUUUCUUCGUCAUGUUUAUGUAUAAUUUACUUAUAUUACUUGUUGAUGUUUUAUUUUUAUUUUGCGUACUUUUUUCUCAAGAAAAGCUACAAUCAUCAUGAUUUUGUAUUUAUGCAUGUUUUGAAUUGAAUCGGAUACAUGUGUCAUGAAAUGAACAUGUAUUAAUAUGACAAUAUUUGCAAGGAAUGUGCACUUUACAAGCUCACGACAAGUUGAUAAAACUUCUCUCUUUCAAUAAAUCUUAAAGCUUUGAUAAUUGUAAUCUUUAUUAAAAUGCACUUUUCUAAAGCACAAAGAUAGUGAGUUAUGUAAUGGUUGAAUAUUUUCUACAAUAUUUUGUUUCCAAAUUGAAUCAAAUCAUGCAACCAACGUCCUACCGAAGAAACUCGAAAUGCUGUGAAAUUAUGUGUAAAAAUAUCGUAUGACUUCAAAUAUUGUACCUUGAAACAGAUAUGCUUGUUGAAUAUAAGAAAAAAUAAACUGCUGAAAAUUG